GGCUGAAAUUCGCCUUCAUGAAGCUGGAAUUGCUAGUAAUGGCAGGUCGGCAUACUGCCGUGAAUACGUUCCCGGGCCUUGUACACACCGCCCGUCACACCAUGAGAGUUGGGAAUACCCGAAGCCUGUGAGCUAACGUAAGAGGCAGCAGUCGAAGGUAGAAUCAAUGAUUGGGGUGAAGUCGUAACAAGGUAUC
rnacentral:rRNA from 1 species